rnacentral:tRNA from 1 species
UGGGGUGUGGCUCGGGGGCAGAGCGCGUGCCUAGCAUGUGUGAGGUCCUGGGUUCAAUCCCCGGCACCUCCA